ensembl:snRNA U2 U2 spliceosomal RNA
AUCAUUUCUCGGCUUUAUGGCUGAGAUCAAGUACAGUAUCUGUUCUAAUCAAUUCUAAUAAUUCAGAGUAAACUCUGUUAUAUGCUAUUACCAAAUAUUAGUUUUU